CUUUCUCGUGCAGAUUUAUUCGUUCGCACACAUGUAAAUAAGGAUUGCAAAGCUACUGAUGCUGCUGCUUCGGAGAUGAUUGAAAACAUAAAAGAACUUCAAAAAAGUUACUCUGACUCGCCUAUUGGCAGUUCCAAUGAUUUGUUCUCCAUUGUGAGGGGAGAAGAGAGAACUGGUCGUGUGCGGAUGCUUGGCUUCGGGCCUACACCAAGCGAUGUUUGAGGGCCCUCUCCUAGUAAAGCUGAACUGAUUAAUAAUGCGAAAAAAUCUGAUGAGGAGGCACGUGCUGCACACGUAGAGUUGCAGGAGACCAUUUCAAAAAUGCAAGCCGACUAUGACAACAAGUUGGAAAAUUUACGAGCCGACUAUGAUGACAAGUUGGAAAAUUUAUAACAACAGGUGGCUAUGCUAAUGCAGAUGCAACAACAAAAUUAUAGUGGACAGGGUAAUUCAAAUCAAAUGGGCAAGAAGACUUGUUGAAGUUGAAGAUAGGGUCGUGGCUGUGCUUUUUGAAUUUCCUUCACCUUGGAUGGGUUCUUUUUGAAAAACUUGUACUACAUUUGUCAAAAAUUGUUAAUUCUUUUUGUCUGACAUUUCGUAGCUUUAUUUAGACAAUUUGGAUGGUAUAUUGGCAGGUUAACUU